rnacentral:rRNA from 1 species
ACGCACGCUGGCGGCGUGCCUAAUACAUGCAAGUCGAGCGGACUUAACAAGCUUGCUUUUUAAGUUAGCGGCGGACGGGUGAGUAACACGUGGGCAACCUGCCUGUAAGACUGGGAUAACUUCGGGAAACCGGAGCUAAUACCGGAUAAUCCUUUUCUACUCAUGUAGAAAAGCUGAAAGACGGUUUACGCUGUCACUUACAGAUGGGCCCGCGGCGCAUUAGCUAGUUGGUGAGGUAACGGCUCACCAAGGCGACGAUGCGUAGCCGACCUGAGAGGGUGAUCGGCCACACUGGGACUGAGACACGGCCCAGACUCCUACGGGAGGCAGCAGUAGGGAAUCUUCCGCAAUGGACGAAAGUCUGACGGAGCAACGCCGCGUGAGUGAUGAAGGUUUUCGGAUCGUAAAACUCUGUUGUUAGGGAAGAACAAGUACGAGAGUAACUGCUCGUACCUUGACGGUACCUAACCAGAAAGCCACGGCUAACUACGUG